rnacentral:lncRNA from 1 species
GAGAAAGGAAGAGACCGGAGGGAGAGAGGGGCAGAGGAGCCAUGGCAGGACAAUAUGGCAGACGGUGGGAAGGCUUCGAAAGCAGAGACAUCCUCAACCAAUCAGAAGAACAAAAUGGGAGAGCCUGAGAAAAGGGCUGGAACCCACGGGAUCAGAUGCUUUGCCAAGAUAAAGGUGUUUCUGUUGGCGUUAACAUGGGCAUAUGCGUCCAAAGCACUAUCAGCAACUUACAUGAAUUCCAUGCUCACACAAAUAGAGAGGCGAUUCAAUAUUUCCACAUCUAUAGUUGGGCUUAUCAAUGGGAGCUUUGAGGAAACCUCUUGUUGAUUAUAUUCGUGAGUUAUUUUGGACGGAAACGGCACAGACCUAUCAUGAUUGGCAUUGGAUGUGCAGUCAUGGGCCUAGGAUGCUUCAUAAUCUCACUACCUCAUUUCCUCAUGGGCCGAUACGAAUAUGAAACAACAAUUUCACCUACAAGCAACUUGUCCUCAAACAGCUUCUUGUGUAUGGAGAACCGAACACAGACCUUAAAGCCAACACAAGACCCAGCAGAGUGUGUGAAAGAAAUGAAAUCAUUAAUGUGGAUAUAUGUACUGGUAGGAAACAUUAUACGUGGAAUUGGUGAAACUCCCAUCAUGCCUUUGGGUAUUUCCUACAUAGAAGACUUUGCCAAAUCAGAAAACUCUCCCUUUUACAUUGGGAUUUUAGAAGUUGGAAAGAUAACUGGCCCAAUAGCUGCAAUUUGGUUGGGAUCUUUCUGUGCAACCAUUUAUGUAGACAUGGGGUCUGUGAAUACAGAUGACCUGACCAUAACUCCCACAGAUACACGCUGUGUUGGUGCUUGGUGG